rnacentral:misc_RNA from 1 species
AAGUCGUAACAAGGUCUCCGUUGGUGAACCAGCGGAGGGAUCAUUACCGAGUUUCUAACUCCAUACCUUUGUGAACAUACCUAUCGUUGCUUCGGCGGGUCCGUCCCGGAGCUGGCAGUGCACGGCCAGCCCCGGAACCAGACGCCCGCCGAGGACCCCAAACUCUUGUUUUUAUAGUGGAUCUUCUGAGUCUUAUACAAAAUAAAUUAAAACUUUCAGCAACGGAUCUCUUGGUUCUG